GCCCGGGUGGUGGAAUCGGUAGACACAAGGGAUUUAAAAUCCCUCGGCGGCAACGCCGUACGAGUUCAAGUCUCGUCCCGGGCA
rnacentral:tRNA from 1 species